rnacentral:rRNA from 1 species
AUUGAACGCUGGCGGCAUGCCUUACACAUGCAAGUCGAACGGUAACAGGUCUUCGGGUGCUGACGAGUGGCGAACGGGUGAGUAAUACAUCGGAACGUGCCUAGUAGUGGGGGAUAACUACUCGAAAGAGUGGCUAAUACCGCAUGAGAUCUACGGAUGAAAGCAGGGGAUCGCAAGACUUUGUGCUACUAGAGCGGCCGAUGGCAGAUUAGGUAGUUGGUGGGAUAAAAGCUUACCAAGCCGACGAUCUGUAGCUGGUCUGAGAGGACGAUCAGCCACACUGGGACUGAGACACGGCCCAGACUCCUACGGGAGGCAGCAGUGGGGAAUUUUGGACAAUGGGCGAAAGCCUGAUCCAGCAAUGCCGCGUGCAGGAUGAAGGCCUUCGGGUUGUAAACUGCUUUUGUACGGAACGAAAAGCCCCGGGUUAAUACCCUGGGGUCAUGACGGUACCGUAAGAAUAAGCACCGGCUAACUACGUGCCAGCAGCCGCGGUAA